AGUGAGAGGAGGAAGAAUGUGCUUGGAGUCAUAAGGGAAGGAGUGAGGGGAUUGAAUAAUAAAGACACUGAGGAGUUCUAUGAUAUAAGUUGAAAUUUGUCCCAAAUUCUGCAGUGAUACCACAAAUAAUGGAUCACCUGAGAACAAAGAUCCCUUUGAAAAAAAUUGGCAUGUGCUUUAAAAGAAAUGCUUCAUAUGUGAUGCCAAAUAGAAAAGAAACACCAGCAGUGAAUUCAGAAAGACUUCUGAACAGAUUAUUUUUGCUUCACUAAUGAGGAUCACAUUGAAGAAGUAAAACGAGAAACUAAUGAGGGAGAAGGGGAGCUUAGGAGAGGAAAAGCAGCUGAGUUCCCUCACUCCUCCACUGCAGACUUCCAAGCCUGGAGCAAAACUCAACUGGGAAUGGGAAGAAGUUUUCAAUGAAAUGAGAUUAACAUUUGGUUUAUCACAUUGAACUGGACUCCAUUUAAAAAAAAAAAAAAAAAAAAGACUAUUUAUGACCUGAAA